rnacentral:rRNA from 1 species
CGUAAUCACUUGUCUUUUAAAUAAAGACUAGUAUGAAUGGCAUCACGAGAGUUCAACUGUCUCCCGCACCCAAUCAGUGAAACUGAUCUCCCCGUGCAGAAGCGGGGAUAAAACCAUAAGACGAGAAGACCCCAUGGAGCUUUAAACUAAAGGCACUAGCCCCUAAUUCACCCCUUAGGGUAAAACAUUUUAACCGGCUAAAGUGACCUGUCGUUUUCGGUUGGGGCGACCACGGAGAAAAACAAAUCCUCCGAGAUGAAAGGGACAACCCUUAGCCAAGACCAACAAUUCUAAGCAAUAGAACGUCUAACACACUGAUCCAAUCAGAUUGAUCAACGAACCAAGUUACCCUGGGGAUAACAGCGCAAUCUAUUUUCAAGAGUUCAUAUCGACAAAUAGGUUACGACCUCGAUGUUGGAUAAGGGCCCCCUAGCGGUG